UACGUAGGGUGCAAGCGUUAAUCGGAAUUACUGGGCGUAAAGCGUGCGCAGGCGGUUGUGCAAGACAGAUGUGAAAUCCCCGGGCUUAACCUGGGAACUGCAUUUGUGACUGCAUGGCUAGAGUGUGUCAGAGGGGGGGUAGAAUUCCACGUGUAGCAGUGAAAUGCGUAGAUAUGUGGAGGAAUACCGAUGGCGAAGGCAGCCCCCUGGGGUAGCACUGACGCUCAUGCACGAAAGCGUGGGGAGCAACAGG
rnacentral:rRNA from 1 species